GACGAACGCUGGCGGCGUGCCUAAUACAUGCAAGUCGAACGGUCUUUUCUAUGGAAGCUUGCUUCCGCUGAGAAGAUAGUGGCGAACGGGUGAGUAACACGUGGGUAACCUGCCCAUAAGAGGGGGAUAACAUCCGGAAACGGGUGCUAAUACCGCAUAGUUUUCUUGAUCGCAUGAUCGGGAAAGGAAAGACGGCCUUUGUGCUGUCGCUUAUGGAUGGACCCGCGGCGUAUUAGUUAGUUGGUGAGGUAACGGCUCACCAAGACGAUGAUACGUAGCCGACCUGAGAGGGUGAUCGGCCACAUUGGGACUGAGACACGGCCCAAACUCCUACGGGAGGCAGCAGUAGGGAAUCUUCCGCAAUGGACGAAAGUCUGACGGAGCAACGCCGCGUGAGUGAAGAAGGUUUUCGGAUCGUAAAACUCUGUUGUCAGAGAAGAACAAGUUGGAGAGUAACUGCUCCAGCCUUGACGGUAUCUGACCAGAAAGCCACGGCUAACUACG
rnacentral:rRNA from 1 species